rnacentral:sRNA from 1 species
GCCGGGAGCGGUUGUGCACACCUGUAAUCCCAGUGGCUCAGGAGGCUGAGGCAGGAGGAUCAUGAGUUCAAAGCCAGCCUCAGCAAAAACUUUACUAAGCAACUCAGUGAGACCCUAUCUCUA